UAUUUAAAUUUCUAAACUCAGGACUAUCCAAUAAAGCCAUGUCUUUAUUUAAACACAAAGUAGUAGUGCUAUAGCCUGGACACUCAACCUGUUGUGGGAAAUGUGUGGGAUUGAUGUCCACAUGGAUCCUAACAUUGGCAAAAGGCUUAAUGCCCUGGUAAAUACCCUUACAAUACUCACAGGAGAGGAGUACAUAGAUGACAUUGCUGACUUAAAUUCAGUGAACAUAGCUGACCUGUCAGAUGAGGAUGAAGUUGACACUAUGUCUCCCACUAUCCAUACUAAUUCAGAUGGAAGUUCAGUGAGUGGAGAUGGCCACAAGCUCACCUUUGGGCAGUGACUUGUAAACCACCUGCUAGGGCUGAGGCCCCCAAAUCAACGCUACUCUGCUCCUACAGAGUAUCUGUGUGGCUCAGAGAUAUGGGGUAACCCUCAGGCUAGCCAGUCCCAUUUGAAAGUAUACAGAGCACA
rnacentral:lncRNA from 1 species